GCGCCUCCCGCCGGCGCCUCCCGCACUCACCGCUGCCGGGCCCUCGCUCCCCGUGCGGGCUGCGGCCGUCUUCAGCCUGUGGCGCGUUCGGCAGCGUCCGGCGCCGGCAGCCUCCCACCGCUCCUCUCCCGGCGGAGAGCCACGGCGGCGGCGGCGGCCGCCCUCGGCCAAGGGCCGGAACGGCUCUGACAUGGGCGGCGGCGGCGGCGGCGAACGCGGCGUUGCCGGGGAACGUGUGUGCGUGUGUGUCCCCCCCCCCCGCCGCAACACCGAAGCGCCCGUAAGCCGCCGGCAUAUAAGCGCGGGCGCUGUUUUUUGACGUCACUUCCGCGCCAUGUGAUGACAUCCAGCUGGCAGGCGGAAGCGCAGCGGGGCGGAGGCCGAGGAGGGGUGAGGCUGGGGACGGUGAUGGCUGUGCCGAGGCAGCGCGAUCCGCGCCCGCUCUGCCGCCUGGUGCUGGCCGCGGUGGUGCUGCUUACCUGGGGCUUUGUCCUCUACGGGGCACGGGUGGCCGCUCAGCGGCAGCUGCAGAGCAUGCUCCUGGCCCAAGGGAAGCCCUAGGCGAUGGCGGAGCCCGCGGGAUGCCGCCGGGAGCCGCGCGCUUUCUCCGAGGAAACGGAGGAUCGACGUGAAGGCUGUAGGAGCCCUGUGGUCACCUGGGCAAAUAAAGCAUAAAUGUUUCUUAGGAAAGAAAUAAAGCAUAGACAGUUGUUGGGGAAAAAA